rnacentral:rRNA from 1 species
AUUGAACGCUGGCGGAAUGCUUUACACAUGCAAGUCGAACGGUAGAGGGGGCAACCCCUUGAGAGUGGCGAACGGGUGAGUAAUAUAUCGGAACGUGCCCAGUCGUGGGGAUAACGUAGCGAAAGUUACGCUAAUACCGCAUACGAUCUAAGGAUGAAAGCGGGGGAUCGCAAGACCUCGCGCGAUUGGAGCGGCCGAUAUCAGAUUAGGUAGUUGGUGAGGUAAAGGCUCACCAAGCCAACGAUCUGUAGCUGGUCUGAGAGGACGACCAGCCACACUGGAACUGAGACACGGUCCAGACUCCUACGGGAGGCAGCAGUGGGGAAUUUUGGACAAUGGGCGAAAGCCUGAUCCAGCAAUGCCGCGUGCAGGAAGAAGGCCU